GGAACUUCUUUGGUAGAGUAGAGAAAGGGAAGAGAGGAAAGACGGAGUGAAGGGGAGGAGAUAAAGCCUUUACUGACACACUCAGGCAAACUUCCUCAUGUGCAUCAGAAUUCAGAGGGGAGUGCCUGGCCCUGGGCUGCUGAGGAAAUGCAUCACUUACCACCCUUCAGAAAGACGGGACAAAGGCCUGGGAGACAGCCCAGCAGGUGGAAGGUCUUGCUGUUUCAAGCGUGAGAACCCCAGGAGGCUGCAUUCUCCAUCACACAGGGACACUUCAGCCCUCAUACCCAGCCUUCAUCUACUCUCCCAGAAACAGUCACCUGUUGGUCAGCUCUUGGGUGUGUACAGUUCCUGAGGUUCACAGGCAGCUUGGUUCCAGAUCCAAGGCCUAGUCUACAAAAAGACAUUGUCUCCAAAUGGACAUUUUCUCUGGACUCUGGUAAACUCCCCUUCAAUCAUCUUCAGCUCAGCCUUCCAGCAGUCUUCAUAAUGGCAGAAACGUCAAGUGAGGGGGAAGUCUGGGAUCUUACAUACUCUUGACUUCUAUAACCUCUUUGCUGAGUAAAGAGCUCUCUAAGAAUCUUAUGGACAUAGGUGAUAGGACUCACAGGUCACUGUUGUAUUUCUGAGAGUCCCAGAAGCAUUGUCUCAGAAUGGUCCCAAAGUCCAGGAUUGCAAAUAGCUAAUCUUAAAGUACGAGUGACUAUGGAUCUUUGUUGAAAUUAAUUCUAUAAAUCAUCACACGAAAGCUAAUACAGGACCAGCAAGAUGGCCCAGCAGGUGAGAGUGCUUGCUGCCUAGUCCCUGGGACCCACAUGGUAG